CAUAUCUCGGAGGUUUGCAAUUCCGUACAUUUGUUCCGCUCUGCGUUAAAACUAUUCAUCUCGCAUUUAGUUUGCAAUCCUAAGGAACUAUGGACAUCAACCAACAUCGUGGCUAUAGAUUGUUGCCAGCAUUUUAACACUUUCAUGGUUGAGUGUGCUGUUGCAUAUAAAACAUGGGCUGGCGACUCUUUCAAACAGCUGCGAUUGAUAGCGUCAGUCUGCGAGUUCUUAGACAAUCUUGUACCUGUCAGCAUAGCAAGGAGGGUAGUCCCAGAGGUUCUGCAAGAAAUUCUGUCCCAUGCAAUUUUAGAUCCUAUAUUGCUUUUCCUGUAUCCUAAAUUGCACGGUUUCAUCUGCCAAUAUGGUAACAUUUUUCAGAAGUCGGAAAUUUCAGUCUACAACGAGCUGACGGUAGUCAAGGAAUCUAUGUCGUCUGCAAGCAUAUUUCUGCAAUCGGGUUUAACCGUGCCCAUCUCUGAUGCUCUUCAAAAUAUGUCAGCUGCCCUUCUAAGCAUACCUUUCCAUCUCAAAUUUGAAUUGAUCCGCUCUUUUAUUUAUUUCUGCUCCCAAAAGAAUCAUUUCCAGCAAGGAGGACAUAGAGCUUUCAAUUGA
rnacentral:lncRNA from 1 species